rnacentral:rRNA from 1 species
UACGUAGGGUGCGAGCGUUAAUCGGAAUUACUGGGCGUAAAGCGCGCGUAGGCGGCUUUGCAAGUCGAGUGUGAAAUCCCCAGGCUUAACCUGGGAACUGCGCUUGUUACUGGCAGGCUUGAGUGUGGCAGAGGGGGGUGGAAUUCCACGGUGUAGCAGUGAAAUGCGUAGAGAUGUGGAGGAACACCGAUGGCGAAGGCAGCCCCCUGGGCUAACACUGACGCUCAUGCACGAAAGCGUGGGGAGCAAACAGG